rnacentral:rRNA from 1 species
CCUACGGGGGGCAGCAGUGGGGAAUAUUGCGCAAUGGGCGAAAGCCUGACGCAGCGACGCCGCGUGAGGGAUGAAGGUCUUCUGAUCGUUAACCUCUGUCAGCAGGGAAGAACGGUCACUGUGCUAAUCAGCAGUGAAUUGACGGUACCUGCAAAGGAAGCACCGGCUAAAUCCGUGCCAGCAGCCGCGGUAAUACGGAGGGUGCGAGCGUUAAUCGGAAUUACUGGGCGUAAAGCGCUCGUAGGCGGUAUGUCAAGUCAAGGGUGAAAUCCCCGCGCUCAACGUGGGAACUGCCUUUGAAACUGGCAAACUGGAGUGUGUGAGAGGAUAGUGGAAUUCCAGGUGUAGGAGUGAAAUCCGUAGAUAUCUGGAGGAACAUCAGUGGCGAAGGCGACUAUCUGGCACAUAACUGACGCUGAGGAGCGAAAGCGUGGGUAGCAAACAGGAUUAGAUACCCCUGUAGUC